rnacentral:misc_RNA from 1 species
GAUGAAGAACGCAGCGAAAUGCGAUAAGUAAUGUGAAUUGCAGAAUUCAGUGAAUCAUCGAAUCUUUGAACGCACAUUGCGCCCCCUGGUAUUCCGGGGGGCAUGCCUGUUCGAGCGUCAUUUCACCACUCAAGCCUCGCUUGGUAUUGGGCAACGCGGUCCGCCGCGUGCCUCAAAUCGACCGGCUGGGUCUUCUGUCCCCUAAGCGUUGUGGAAACUUUCGCUGAAGGGUGUUCGGGAGGCUACGCCGUAAAACAACCCCAUUUCUAAGGUUGACCUCGGAUCAGGUAGGGAUACCCGCUGAACUUAAGCAUAUCAAUAAGCGGAGGA